UACAGAGGUCCCAAGCGUUGUUCGGAUUCACUGGGCGUAAAGGGUGCGUAGGUGGUGGGGUAAGUUUGAGGUGAAAGCUCCGGGCUCAACCCGGAAAUGGCCUUGAAGACUAUCCUGCUCGAGGGUUGGAGGGGGGACUGGAAUUCUCGGUGUAGCAGUGAAAUGCGUAGAUAUCGAGAGGAACACCAGUAGCGAAGGCGAGUCCCUGGACAACACCUGACACUGAGGCACGAAAGCUAGGGGAGCAAACGGG
rnacentral:rRNA from 1 species